GGGGAUGUCGCUCAGUGGCAGAACCUUUGUCUGUCAUGCAUAAGGCGCUGGGUUCAAUCCCCAGCACUGCCA
rnacentral:tRNA from 1 species